rnacentral:rRNA from 1 species
CCUACGGGAGGCAGCAGCAGGGAAUCUUGCGCAAUGGGCGAAAGCCUGACGCAGCGACACCGCGUGGGGGAUGAAGGCCUUCGGGUUGUAAACCCCUUUCAGGAGGGAUGAAAUUGACAGUACCUCCACAAGAAGGACCGGCCAACUACGUGCCAGCAGCCGCGGUAAUACGUAGGGUCCGAGCGUUAUCCGGAAUCAUUGGGCGUAAAGAGCUCGUAGGCGGUUCAGCAAGUCGGCUGUGAAAGUUCGAGGCUCAACCUCGAAAUUGCAGUCGAUACUGCUGUGACUCGAGUCCGGUAGAGGAGAAUGGAAUUCCCGGUGUAGCGGUGAAAUGCGCAGAUAUCGGGAGGAACACCAGUAGCGAAGGCGGUUCUCUGGGCCGGCACUGACGCUGAGGAGCGAAAGCGUGGGGAGCAAACAGGAUUAGAUACCCUGGUAGUCCACGCCGUAAACGUUGGAUACUAGGUGUGGCGUCCCGAUUAACGGUCGCCGUGCCGAAGCUAACGCAUUAAGUAUCCCGCCUGGGGAGUACGGCCGCAAGGCUAAAACUCAAAGGAAUGACGGAAUCGUCGACCGCAGAGAACUUC